rnacentral:tRNA from 1 species
GCCUGAGUGGUUUAGUCGGUUAAGCGUCUGACUCUUGAUUCCAGCUCAGGUCAUGAUCUCGCCCGCAGUCAUGGGAUCAAACCCCAUGUCGGGCU